GACGUAGGGCGCGAGCGUUGUCCGGAUUGAUUGGGCGUAAAGGGCUCGUAGGCGGUCUGUCGCGUCGGGGAGUGAAAACUCAGGGCUUAACCCUGAGCCUGCUUCCGAUACGGGCAGACUAGAGGUAUGCAGGGGGAGAACGGAAUUCCUGGUGUAGCGGUGAAAUGCGCAGAUAUCAGGAGGAACACCGGUGGCGAAGGCGGUUCUCUGGGCAUUACCUGACGCUGAGGAGCGAAAAGUGUGGGGGAGCGAACAGG
rnacentral:rRNA from 1 species